rnacentral:rRNA from 1 species
AGUGCAUGUGGUGGAUGCCUUGGCGAUCACAGGCGAUGAAGGACGCGGUAGCCUGCGAAAAGCUACGGGGAGCUGGCAAACGAGCUUUGAUCCGUAGAUGUCCGAAUGGGGAAACCCACUCCUUUUGGAGUAUCCAUGACUGAAUACAUAGGUCAUGUGAAGCGAACGCGGUGAACUGAAACAUCUAAGUAACCGCAGGAAAAGAAAUCAACCGAGAUUCCCAAAGUAGUGGCGAGCGAAAUGGGAAGAGCCUGUACUCUUUAUUUGUAUUGUUAGCCGAACGCUCUGGAAAGUGCGGCCAUAGCAGGUGAUAGCCCUGUAGGCGAAAACAGUAUGAAAGAACUAGGUGUACGACAAGUAGGGCGGGACACGUGAAAUCCUGUCUGAAGAUGGGGGGACCAUCCUCCAAGGCUAAAUACUCGUGAUCGACCGAUAGUGAACCAGUACCGUGAGGGAAAGGUGAAAAGAACCCCGGGAGGGGAGUGAAAUAGAUCCUGAAACCGCAUGCAUACAAACAGUCGGAGCCUCGUAAGGGGUGACGGCGUACCUUUUGUAUAAUGGGUCAGCGACUUACGUUCAGUAGCAAGCUUAACCGAAUAGGGCAGGCGUAGCGAAAGCGAGUCCGAAUAGGGCGUUCAGUUGCUGGGCGUAGACCCGAAACCAAGUGAUCUAUCCAUGGCCAGGAUGAAGGUGCGGUAACACGUACUGGAGGUCCGAACCCACUAACGUUGAAAAGUUAGGGGAUGAGCUGUGGAUAGGGGUGAAAGGCUAAACAAACUUGGAAAUAGCUGGUUCUCUCCGAAAACUAUUUAGGUAGUGCCUCGUGUCUCACCUUCGGGGGUAGAGCACUGUCAUGGUUGGGGGGUCUAUUGCAGAUUACCCCGCCAUAGCAAACUCCGAAUACCGAAGAGUGCAAUCACGGGAGACAGACAUCGGGUGCUAACGUCCGGUGUCAAGAGGGAAACAACCCAGACCGCCAGCUAAGGUCCCCAAAUAUGGCUAAGUGGGAAACGAAGUGGGAAGGCUAAAACAGUCAGGAGGUUGGCUUAGAAGCAGCCACCCUUUAAAGAAAGCGUAAUAGCUCACUGAUCGAGUCGUCCUGCGCGGAAGAUGUAACGGGGCUAAGCCAUAUACCGAAGCUGCGGAUGCGAGCUAGUCUCGCAUGGUAGGAGAGCGUUCCGUAAGCCUGCGAAGGUGCAUUGUAAAGUGUGCUGGAGGUAUCGGAAGUGCGAAUGCUGACAUGAGUAGCGAUAAAGGGGGUGAAAGGCCCCCUCGCCGUAAGCCCAAGGUUUCCUACGCAACGUUCAUCGGCGUAGGGUGAGUCGGCCCCUAAGGCGAGGCAGAAAUGCGUAGCUGAUGGGAAGCAGGUCAAUAUUCCUGCACCAUUGUUAAAUGCGAUGGGGGGACGGAUCGCGGAAGGUUGUCCGGGUGUUGGAAGUCCCGGUCGCUGCAUUGGAGAAGGCGCUUAGGCAAAUCCGGGCGCGGAAUUCAAGGGUGUGGCGCGAGCUUCUUCGGAAGCGAAGCAAUCGGAAGUGGUUCCAAGAAAAGCCUCUAAGCUUCAGUUUAACAGUGACCGUACCGCAAACCGACACAGGUGGGCGAGAUGAGUAUUCUAAGGCGCUUGAGAGAACUCGGGAGAAGGAACUCGGCAAAUUGGUACCGUAACUUCGGGAUAAGGUACGCCCCUGUAGCUUGACUGGCCUGCGCCAGAAGGGUGAAGGGGUUGCAAUAAACUGGUGGCUGCGACUGUUUAAUAAAAACACAGCACUCUGCAAACACGAAAGUGGACGUAUAGGGUGUGACGCCUGCCCGGUGCCGGAAGAUUAAAUGAUGGGGUGCAAGCUCUUGAUUGAAGUCCCGGUAAACGGCGGCCGUAACUAUAACGGUCCUAAGGUAGCGAAAUUCCUUGUCGGGUAAGUUCCGACCUGCACGAAUGGCGUAACGAUGGCCACACUGUCUCCUCCCGAGACUCAGCGAAGUUGAAGUGUUUGUGAUGAUGCAAUCUCCCCGCGGCUAGACGGAAAGACCCCAUGAACCUUUACUGUAGCUUUGCAUUGGACUUUGAACCGAUCUGUGUAGGAUAGGUGGGAGGCUAUGAAACCGGAACGCUAGUUUCGGUGGAGCCGUCCUUGAAAUACCACCCUGGUUUGUUUGAGGUUCUAACCUUGGCCCGUGAUCCGGGUCGGGGACAGUGCAUGGUAGGCAGUUUGACUGGGGCGGUCUCCUCCCAAAGUGUAACGGAGGAGUACGAAGGUACGCUAGGUACGGUCGGAAAUCGUGCUGAUAGUGCAAUGGCAUAAGCGUGCUUAACUGCGAGACCGACAAGUCGAGCAGGUGCGAAAGCAGGUCAUAGUGAUCCGGUGGUUCUGUAUGGAAGGGCCAUCGCUCAACGGAUAAAAGGUACUCUGGGGAUAACAGGCUGAUACCGCCCAAGAGUUCAUAUCGACGGCGGUGUUUGGCACCUCGAUGUCGGCUCAUCUCAUCCUGGGGCUGUAGCCGGUCCCAAGGGUAUGGCUGUUCGCCAUUUAAAGAGGUACGUGAGCUGGGUUUAAAACGUCGUGAGACAGUUUGGUCCCUAUCUGCCGUGGGCGUUGGAUAUUUGAAGGGGGCUGCUCCUAGUACGAGAGGACCGGAGUGGACGAACCUCUGGUGUACCGGUUGUCACGCCAGUGGCAUCGCCGGGUAGCUAUGUUCGGAAGAGAUAACCGCUGAAAGCAUCUAAGCGGGAAACUCGCCUUAAGAUGAGAUAUCCCCGGGGACUUGAUCCCCUUGAAGGGUCGUUCGAGACCAGGACGUUGAUAGGUCAGGUGUGUAAGCGCAGUAAUGCGUUCAGCUAACUGAUACUAAUUGCCCGUAAGGCUUGAUC